rnacentral:lncRNA from 1 species
UAUAAUUUUUCAACAUAUCAAACAUCAAAUCCAAAUGAAUUAAUAUCUCCAUAAUAAAUACAAUAUCAUUACAUCAAUCCACCAAUUCAUUACAUAUGUAGGGUCUCAAGUCUCAAAUUUUCCAGCACAUGUGUAGUAGCAGCACAAUAGGUCAAUAGCCAAAAGCACAAGAGUAGUAGUGCAGCAGCCAAAAGUUAUGUGUCUCCAGGCCACAAAUUCAGUGUAACCAAAAUAUCAUCAUUGGAAGACAUGAACUGGAGGGUUUUACCCUUAGAUGCGUAAGUGCAUAAUGUCAUUCUAGUGAUAAGCAAGUAGCCAACUGCUUCAGUCCAGCUGCUUCAGUUUGGCCGUCAUGAAAGCCUUCUCAUCCUUUCCUUUUUGAAGUUUAGACCCUACAAGUAUACAGUAAAGGAUAAGCUGUAAUUAUUCAAAAAUCUCUCACAAAAUAUAUAGACUCAAAAUCUAGUGAUUUCACAGACAUGAAAAAGAUAUAUUUUACCACACAGCAAGACAUAAUUCAGAGUUAUUAGUAUUACUGGAUGUCACAUAAAUAUCUAUGCAUAAAUAUUAUAAUAAUACAAUGUUCAAAACCAAUGUUAAGUUAGUACAUGCCAUUAGUUUCAUAUAUAACAUGUGGCCAUCAUAUCCACAAAUUUGUUCAUCCAAUUACAUGGUUAUGCACAUUAUCACCCACCCAACCAUAAUUAACCAUGUCAUACAUAAUUAUAAUGUUAGUAGUCCUUUAUUUGAUAUUUUUCUUAAAAAUAAUGUCCCCAUUCGAUGGAUGGUAGGUUCCCCUCAAGUUUGAAUUAGCCAAUAGAUACCUGCAUCAGAGUCACUUGUAAUUAACUAUGUGCACUAUAUUACUAAAUAAGGAAGCAAUAAGGAGUUAAAAUAAUACUGAUUCUGGAACAAGAUAUAACAGUUCUAGAUUAAUUAGAUAGAUCAGCUCAGGACUACAUACUAAAAGCAUGUAGAUCUUUUACAUACACCUAUAACAAUGUUCUCAACUUACUAAUUUUGUGAUCUAGUUGUAAUGUCAUAGUGUCGUGCUCUAAUGCCUCACCUCUCGGGCCUUGUUUAGUUUCCAAAAUUUUUUGUUUUUUUUCUACUGUAGCAUUUCGUUUUUAUUUGACAAACAUUGUCCAAUCAUGGAGUAACUAGGCUCAAAAGAUUCAUCUCACAAAUUACAGAUAAACUGUGUAGUUAGUUUUUAUUUUUGUCUAUAUUUAAUGCUCCAUGCAUGCGACCAAAGAUUCGAUGUGACAGAGAAUCUUAAAAAAUUUUGCGAACUAAACAAGGCCUAAAGGAAAAGUAGCAAGCCCUCUAAUAAAGGAAAAGCAGCAAGCCAGAAACUACAACAUACGAACAGCUCCAUGGAACCACCGGCCCGAGCACUGCUGCUCGCUAUCCAGAAAGGCAGAUCUAGUCCGGCCGAAGCGAGAUCCAAGCUUAUGGACUGCUACCAGGCAUGUAGAGACCAAAUAAUAGGUUAAACAAUGCGAAAUCGUUAUCCCUAACCCUAAAAUUAAGAAAUGGGCUCACCUAAGACGACGCCGAUGGGUUUGUCCGAGAGCUCACCGCCAACGCACUAGCAAGCGCCGCGUGGCCGUGAGCCUCCUCGCGUGCACGCGCGGCCAGCAAAGGGCGCUAUGGUAGUGCUGCGUGCAGCUUUGACUGCGCACCUCUCCUACCAUCGUUUGCUUGGGCCAUCAUCGCGCUGAUCUCUGAGCUGUGCG